UACGUAGGUGGCAAGCGUUAUCCGGAUUUAUUGGGUGUAAAGGGCGUGUAGGCGGGAGCGCAAGUCAGAUGUGAAAACUCAGGGCUCAACCCUGAGCCUGCAUUUGAAACUGUGUUUCUUGAGUGCUGGAGAGGCAAUCGGAAUUCCGUGUGUAGCGGUGAAAUGCGUAGAUAUACGGAGGAACACCAGUGGCGAAGGCGGAUUGCUGGACAGUAACUGACGCUGAGGCACGAAAGCGUGGGGAGCAAAUAGG
rnacentral:rRNA from 1 species